rnacentral:rRNA from 1 species
GACGGAGGAUGCAAGCGUUAUCCGGAAUUAUUGGGCGUAAAGCGUCCGCAGGUGGCUGUUCAAGUCUGCUGUCAAAGCGCAGAGCUUAACUCUGUACAGGCGGUGGAAACUGGAGAGCUAGAGUAUGGUAGGGGUAGAGGGAAUUCCCGGUGUAGCGGUGAAAUGCGUAGAUAUCGGGAAGAACACCAGUGGCGAAAGCGCUCUACUGGGCCAUAACUGACACUGAGGGACGAAAGCUAGGGGAGCGAAAGGG